rnacentral:rRNA from 1 species
UACGUAGGUGGCAAGCGUUGUCCGGAUUUAUUGGGUUUAAAGGGUGCGUAGGUGGCCCUGUAAGUCAGUGGUGAAAUAUCUCAGCUUAACUGAGAGGGUGCCAUUGAUACUGCAGGGCUUGAGUACAGAUGAGGUAGGCGGAAUUGACGGUGUAGCGGUGGAAUGCGUAGAGAUCCGGAAGAACACCGGUGGCGAAGGCGGCCUGCUGGGCAGUAGCUGACGCUGAGGCGCGACAGCGUGGGGAGCAAACAGG